rnacentral:rRNA from 1 species
CCUACGGGUGGCAGCAGUGGGGAAUAUUGCACAAUGGGGGAAACCCUGAUGCAGCGACGCCGCGUGAGUGAAGAAGUACUUCGUUAUGUAAAGCUCUAUCAUCAGGGAAGAAAAUGACGGUACUUCCGUAAGAAUCCCCGGCUACAUACUUGCCAGCAGCCGCGGUAAUACGUAGGGGGCAAGCGUUAUCCGGAUUUACUGGGUGUAACGGGAGCGUAGACGGCAGUGCAAGUAAGGAGUGAAAGGCGGGGGCUCAACCCCCGGAAUCCUCUGGAAACUGGACGGCUGGAGUGCAGGAGGGGGAAGUGGAAGUCCUAGUGUAGCGGUGAAAUGCGUAGAUAUUAGGAGGAACACCAGUGGCGAAGGCGGCUUACUGGACUGUAACUGACGUUGAGGCUCGAAAGCGUGGGGAGCAAACAGGAUUAGAUACCCUUGUAGUC